rnacentral:rRNA from 1 species
GACGAACGCUGGCGGCGUGCUUAACACAUGCAAGUCGAACGGAAAGGCCCUGCUUUUGUGGGGUGCUCGAGUGGCGAACGGGUGAGUAACACGUGAGUAACCUGCCCUUGUCUUUGGGAUAACUUCAGGAAACUGGGGCUCAUACCGGAUAGGAUCUCCUGCUGCGUGGGGGGGGUUGGAAAGAUUCGGCGGUUGGGGAUGGACUCGCGGCUUAUCAGCUUGUUGGUGGGGUAGUGGCUUACCAAGGCUUUGACGGGUAGCCGGCCUGAGAGGGUGACCGGCCACAUUGGGACUGAGAGACGGCCCAGACUCCUACGGGAGGCAGCAGUGGGGAAUAUUGCACAAUGGGCGGAAGCCUGAUGCAGCAACGCCGCGUGCGGGAUGACGGCCUUCGGGUUGUAAACCGCUUUCGCCUGUGACGAAGCGUGAGUGACGGUAAUGGGUAAAGAAGCACCGGCUAACUACGUG